AUACAUUUUAGGCAGUAUUGUUUAUUUUAUGGAACACAUUGUAUGCCCAGCACACGUCAUGUCCAAAGGACAAAACCAGUGAUUAAAAGGCAGUGAGCAGGUUUUUACUGGUCAGUAAAUUCAUCCCUACUCGUCAGUUGUGAAUGUUCAGCUUCCUUCUUUGCUUCAAUGUCAAGCAGUCUGUAGUUGACACCCAUGCCAAUAAAGAGGAACAAGCUCGCAACCAAUAGGAAGAUUCCACUGCUUAUCACGUCCAAUUGCCAGAUUGUGUCAUGCUUCCUCUUCACUAAUGCCGAUCCCUGCUCUGAUUUAAGGAGAACAAAGCUAACCCACGCCCCCUCUGACACGUGGGCAGCAGCCGUAUGCAUCUUUUCACCUGCACUAGGCGAGUGCUAAUGAGGAUCAGCCCUGUGUACGGAGAGACACACCCUGAUCAACACACUCCUUCCCCACCCCUGUGCAGGCAGCAUCAAUCAGCCAGCAGAGGUUGCAGUCGCAUCAGCUACGAGGAGACCCUAUCCGGUUUACUACUACCCCACUUCUAUAUGAACAACAGGCCAAUCUUUGUUCAUGUGGCCGCUCAGCCUAGCUGGAUGGCAGAGCUGGGAUUCGAUACGAUGUAUUCGAGAUCCCAGCUCCGGUGUGCUAGCGUGUGUUUUUUACAGCUGCACCACCUGAGCGGCCUAACAUUUGGUAUUUUAAAUUGUCAUCAAACAUCAUGCUAAUAAAUAAAAUAAAUUAAUUAAAUUAUUUAAAGAUAUAAAAAUCUGCAGAAAUUAA